CAAAAAGUUGUCAAAUAUAAAACUAGCCUUUUAUUACCACAGCAAAAAAGCUUAGAGAAAAGCACAAGCUGAAGCUGAAAAUAUGACCUUGACUCAGGAAAGGAAGUGGCAGAUCACGAGAGAAGAGAACAAUGUGAGGCCCUAAGAGGAUUAACAUAGCCUGGAGGAAGACAAAAAAUCCAGAGUGGACCAGAGCUGGGAGUCUUUCUUUACUCUGUCCAGCUAGAAACUUUCUAACAUUUCUUAGCAAGGAAGAACUAAAAUUGAUUGUUUUUUUAAUGGAUACAAGCUUAGAUUGUCAAUGGAGAGAUCUGUAGCUAGUUUUCAACGUAAAGCAUGGAAGUCAAUCUUUUAAAAUUAACUGUUAUUAUAAAAUCCUGAGUUUAAGACCCCUCCAGGCAUUGCUCUUUAGAGACACCUGAGCUGCUUUAACAGAACUGUCUAUUUCAGUUAAGAUUCUGGUGCCAGAGUGAGGAAAACCAUGUGGGGAGCAGUUUUCAGAGUACUUCUUUAGCCAGUUUACUUCUGCUUAAUGACAACAGAGGACUUAUUCUCUUGUACACCCUCUGUGUCCUCCACUGUAAUGAGAAACCCAGACAAAUAACUUCUUAAGGUACCCCAGGUUCUAGAAGCCUCCAAUACUGCCAUAACAUUGUCAUAAAACUUUUAAUCCCCACCUGGUAGUGAAUCUAAGUAGCAAAAAAAAAAAAAAGCAAUGUGAAGUGAGUUCCUCCAUCCUGGGGGAAGGAAACUCAAACAAUUUCCUAGUGACCUCAUACAGCUUGGGCACAGAAAGGAGUAAGGAAUAAAAGGUGAUAGAAAUAAGAUUUACAUUGAUAUAUUAGGUGAGGGUUACUGGCCGUGGUCUGCCUUUUCAGUGGAGUUAGAAGCUGCUACAGGAUAUUUUACCAGUUACAACCUAUGUAUGUGAGAAGGAGCCUCCUAUUGGGAACUUUUCCAAGGUCUAAUAAAGCUGUGCUUUGCUCUUUCUGACCUUGGCCCAGCGACAGGGUGACAUUCUUCUCUCAAGGUUAUGGGGAUAUUGGAGGUGAGAGAAGAGUUUAUUCCUGAAUCAUGGAAAUGAACACACUGAAAUCAGAUCUUCCUUCCCGGUGUGGAUUUGUUCCCAGGUGUCAGCCUGCAGAGUUGGGUCACCAACCAGUUGCAAUGAUGCACAGGGAGAAGAUUCUGUCAGGUUCUUGUCUAAGAACAGAGGAGGUCAGAGCCUGGAGACUGGGUCUGGGAUUCUGUCCUGAGGAGACACAGGUUUCCAGAGAAGCAGGUUCACCUUAUGAACAUUGAGUGAUCACCCUGAAAAAAGCAUGCCCCAGGAGAAUGAGAGACAUGUGGUGUGGGCCUGAAUCUUACCUGUGGCCUGAAGGAGGGUUGCCCCAGCUGACCUGUGGACCCCUGAGCAUGAGAAUACAUGUUUAUUAGUGGUAACCACUUACAUUUUGGCUGUCUUGCUAUGCUGCAUUAUUGAAGAAAAUAAUGCAUUAGUUGACUAAUGUGCUGCACCUGCAUCUUUCUUAUCUGAUGAUUGGGACUCUGCAUCUCCGUGUUCUCAGACAACCCUACAUCGCUCCAUGCCUGUAGCUUGAACUUUGUGGACCAACUUUUAUAUGAUUUCACACUAACCUAAACAAAAUCAGCUCUUCAGUUUUAGAGGUAGAAGUUAUCAUAAAGUCAUUUAGUCCAACUUUAUUGUUUGAUAAAUGAAGAAGGCAAGAGAAAAGACAAUUCGGUAAAGUCUUGCUGUUCUUAGAGGCUCAGAGAGGAUCCAGGCAUUCUGGACUGCCCUUCUGUGUGUCUUUUCAUUUUGCCAAAUGACUUUUAAUUUCAUGAAUUGGGUGUUUCCAGAUGCUGCAAAUCGACUUUUAGCACUGGAAGAAGAGUCGAUAAGCAGACGAGAAGAGAAAGUGAAAGCCCCAGGGAAUUGUGCUGAUCAAAGUUGAAUGAAAGUGAUGGGUUGGUCAGGCAUUUGCUGAGGCUGGAAAUAAAGAUUCUUCUGAAGUGUACAAUAAUUGGACUUGUUCAAAGAGUUUCUCUGGGAAGAAAAAGAUGAAAUUAAGCCGUGGAAAUUUUUGGCCAAGUCAUGAAAACACAUUUUCCAAAAGAGCUGUUAAUUUGACAGUGGAAUGAGUCACAGCCCAUGGGCAGGUCUGAAAGUCCCAUCAACUGAAUUACUGAAAACUUAACUGGACAAUAAAAAAUGUAUGGUUAAGGCAACCAUCCCUGAAGGGCUAGGCCAGAGAGACACCGUGUCCCUGUUUGAACUUUUCCUUUGUAUUUUCAGUCCAAAUUAACAUGGAAAAUUACCUGAUACUUCAGAUCAUGAGAGUAGCAGGGCCAGAUUAUUUCAGGAUGGGAGGUGUUUCCUAUUUCACUUGUCUUCAGGGUCAAAUUCAUUGAAUGGUGACCAGACUUUCAAUGUUGCUAUGACGGCAGGUCUGGCACUAACUAGUUGAUAGUUGGAAAAUAAAGUUUCUCAUGGAACUUAAACCUUGAAUUUCCCAAGUUAUAGAAAGGUAUGGUACCAUUUAAUAACAAUGGCACCUGAGUGUAACUUGCUAAAUAGAAGUGGCCAAGAGUGGUAUUUAAAAUCUAGUUUUAUAAGCAUUUUUCUUUAAAUGUAUAGCGGUCCUUCCACUACCUCCUCCUUCAUUAUUGGUUAAAAAGAAAAGACGAGGCGUGGUUCUCACAUCUUGACACACUAUGAAAGGCCUGGUAGCUCAGCUCAACUCUAACUCCUCCGGGAAGCCCUUCCCACCUCCUUGGUUCAGG
rnacentral:lncRNA from 10 species